rnacentral:rRNA from 1 species
UACGGAGGGGGCUAGCGUUGUUCGGAAUUACUGGGCGUAAAGCGCACGUAGGCGGCUUUGUAAGUUAGAGGUGAAAGCCCAGGGCUUAACCCUGGAAUUGCCUUUAAGACUGCAUCGCUAGAAUCGUGGAGAGGUGAGUGGAAUUCCGAGUGUAGAGGUGAAAUUCGUAGAUAUUCGGAAGAACACCAAGUGGCGAAGGCGACUCACUGGACACGUAUUGACGCUGAGGUGCGAAAGCGUGGGGAGCAAACAGGG